GAGGCCCUGGGAUCCGAACUGCCACCUCCGCCGCCGCCAUCCUCGAAGCCUCCAGGCAAGGCCUCCAGGCCGAGCCGCUCCGGAGCUGCUCACCCGCGCCCGGGCGCUCCGAAUCCAGGAACGUGAGCCCCCGGUCUCCCUUCUCCAAGAGAGCAAAGCCGCCGCGAGCGGGCCGAGUCCGUCCCCUCCCGCCUUGGCUCCACGUCUCCGGCUCGCCUGCCCGAGUCCCGACGCCCCGGGAAAAGGCUUCCAGGGUCCCCAGUCCACCCCACCCCCGGUACCGCUCCCACCCGGACCCGCGUCCCGAGCUUGACACUCCCAGCCUCCGCCACCUCCAACCGCAGCCCCAGCCCGCCUCACCUCAGUCGGCUCCCGCAGCGCUGGACACAGGAAACUCCUGGGUCCUCGACUCCGGCUCUCCUCGACCCCCCUCUUCGGUUAACUCCGCUUGUUUUCUCGACAAAAUGGCGCCCGAGGUCGCGCGCUCACGUCGCGGCCUUUCCCCUCCCAGUUCCCAUUUCACCAUUCGCUGCCCGCUUUGGCGGAGGGAUGGCCCUAGCGCCCAGCCAAUGGCCGCGCGCUGACCGCAACGGCGGUCCAAUCGCCGAUGGGUACCCGCGGAUUUAAACCAAUCACACACUAAUCACUCGCAGAAGUCGAGGAAGAAACCAGGCUCCUGCUAGCAACCACCAAUCCAGACUCCUAGUUUGCGGGGCUCAGGCCAAUUGCCGCUCAUCAGCCCUGGGACUGGGUCCGAGUCUGGGCGCCUGCGCACCCGGGUGUAAGCCAAUGGUUAGACGUUGGGAACUUCGAUUUGGGACUCGAAGACAUAAGCCUUCGAGGUGUUCGACCUAUGGGGACUGGCUGGUCAUUGCCUCCGGGAAACAAAAAAAUACGGAAGGGAGCUCGUUAAUGCAUUGCCACCCUGCGCACAAACUACUCUAACUUAGAGACAGGGUGAUGCUCGUCUACUUUCCUUCGUCUUUCGAAAUGUCACGGUCCGAGAGGCUGUGCGGGUUCCCAGCGGAAGCAUUGUCCACCCCUCGGAUCUCUUUAGCAAGGAGCACCAGUCAUCAGAAGGCGUCAGACGCGGGGCAAAGUUGAGGUCCUUUGCAUCCUGGGUUAUGUAGUCGCACGCCCCGCCUAUUCCUGUCGCAAAAGUAACGUGGUCUCUUCCAUCACUGUCUGCGCCCUAGAGCAGCAAUGCAUGCUGGAGAAUGUAGUCUCCCAGAUGCCCACCUAAUCCUGGCUCUUUUAAAGUUUGUUUUCCAUUUGUCUUUUGAAGCAGGGACGCUUUGCAGAGAUAUAGAAACAGAAGUUCUCCUCCUGCUCUUGGCUAUUCUCAAGGAUGCCAAUGCCUUUUGCUUCUUGGAUAAAAGGCUACGUUAUCCACUGUGUCCUCCUAUCUUUUAGACUUUUUGUUUGAGUUUUGAAACAAGGUCUCUUUCAGUUAACCCAACUGUAGUCCAGGCUGGCCUGAAACAUACUAAGAAGCAUAAAUUGACCUUGAGCUCCUUGCAAUCUUCCAAAAUACUGAGAUGAUAAUAGACGUAACCUCUCAUACCAGUACUAUUUGAACUUUAAAGAGAUGUGUUAAAGACUUUUAUUACUUAUUUUACGUGUACAGGCGUUUGCUUGCAUGUAAAUCUAUGCACCAUGCAUGUACAAUGUCCUCAGAGGUCAGAAGAGGAUGCCCGUCCCUCUGGAAGUGAACGGUUGUGAGCCACUGGGUGGGUCCUCUGGAAAAGCAGCCAGCUCUUGUAAUCUCUGUGCCAUCUUUCCAACCCCUAGAUGAAAAAAAAAAAGUGUCUGAGUGCUUGCCUAUAUAUAUGUUCACCUAGAGAGUGUGGACCUGGUACCCAGGAAGGCAUUGGAUGCCCCGGGACUGAGAUGAGAGUCUCAGCAGUAAAGUUGUAAGCUGCUCUAUGAGUGCUGGAAACCCACCCCUGCACCUCUGCAAAAACAGCUCCUCUCCAGCCCCCAUCUUGAACUUUUUUUAUCAAUGUUUUAUUUGUGCAAUUUAGCAAUAUGGGGGUUGUUUCGUUUUGUGGGUUUUGUUUUCUUUUGUUGUUAAAGAAGAAGAGAGACAAAGAUGAACUGAGACUGUUCUGGAGAAGGGGGAGGGGGACAUACAAGUCAACUACCCAAGAUCAAUUCUGUAAUUCUACAACCAGUUUAGUUCAAGCUUCAAUUGCCCCCAAACUGAAGGUAAGCUGAAAUAAAGCUGAUAUAAACGGGGCCUCCUAGAGGAGAUUCUUAAGCUCACUGCCCAUCUCUCCUCGGAGGUUAUACAUCACUACUAAAAUCUGACAGCCAUAAAAACUGAGCCAGGAUUUUCACAAUGCCCUAAAGGUCAAAGUCCUUUGACUGUGUAUCUAGGCUGGGUGGUUCUUGUCUUUCCUAAAAUGGCUGAGAAGACCUUCAUAAAGGAUCUAGAAGGGUCACCUUCUAACUCAGCAAUUACGAAUGUUUGCUUUCAAACAUCCUUAAGAACAGGAUGUCCUAACGAGCAGACGAGCUCACCUGGCUGAUUCUCAGCCUUCUUCCCACCCUCCCUGUCCGACUUUCACAAAAUAUCCCGGGGCUAAAGUAAAAUACAACAGAAGAACUUGGUGUUAAAAGUNNNNNNNNNNNNNNNNNNNNNNNNNNNNNNNNNNNNNNAAAUUUAAAAGGUUUAUUUAUUUUAUGUAUAUGGAAGUGUAGCUGUCUUCAGACACACCAGAAAAGGUGCACCCAAUCCCAUUACAGAUGGUUGUAAGCUAACAUGUGGUUGCUGGGACUUGAACUCAGGACCCCUAGAAAAGCAGUCAGUGCUCUUAACUGCUGACAGUUGAUGGCUCCUGGCGUAUAUAGAGAGUUUUAUAAGUUCACUGUGCUCCAGUGAAUGCCCCCUCAUCCGUGAGUACGCAGGCAGAUCAAAUUGGUCUCAAAAAAAAAAAAAAAGAAAGAAAAAAGCAGGCAGACAGAGUGUCUCAUACCUCAUGACCUGAGCUCAGCACUCACAUUUAAGACAUUUAAGCAGAAGCAGUCAGAUCUCUGUGAGUUCAACCAGCCUGGUUCCAGGACAUCCAGAGCUACAUAGUGAGACCCUAUCUCAAAGGUGGUAGAGGGGAGAGACAGACAGACAGAGGGGACAACAAUGACACACACAGGCUAACAUCUGGGCAGGGGCCUAAGAGGUGGGAUAAAUAUGAUAAAAAUACAUUAAAUACAUGUAUGGUAUUCUCAAAGAAGUAACUGC
ensembl:processed_transcript 4930513N10Rik RIKEN cDNA 4930513N10 gene